rnacentral:rRNA from 1 species
AACGAACACUGGCGGCAUGCCUGACACAUGCAAGUCGAACGAAGGCUUCGGCCUUAGUGGCGCACGGGUGCGUAACGCGUGGGAAUCUGCCCUUUGGUUCGGAAUAACAGCUGGAAACGGCUGCUAAUACCGGAUGAUGACGAAAGUCCAAAGAUUUAUCGCCAGAGGAUGAGCCCGCGUUGGAUUAGGUAGUUGGUGGGGUAAAGGCCUACCAAGCCGACGAUCCAUAGCUGGUCUGAGAGGAUGAUCAGCCACACUGGGACUGAGACACGGCCCAGACUCCUACGGGAGGCAGCAGUGGGGAAUAUUGGACAAUGGGCGCAAGCCUGAUCCAGCAAUGCCGCGUGAGUGAUGAAGGCCCUAGGGUUGUAAAGCUCUUUUACCCGGGAAGAUAAUGACUGUACCGGGAGAAUAAGCCCCGGCUAACUCCGUG